rnacentral:rRNA from 1 species
AAUCAACGCUGGCGGCGUGCCUAACACAUGCAAGUCGAACGCGAAAGUCCCGCAAGGGAUUAGUAGAGUGGCAAACGGGUGAGUAACACGUGGGUGACCUGCCUUCGAGUGGGGGAUAACGUCCCGAAAGGGACGCUAAUACCGCAUGACAUCCUGCCUUUGAAGAGGUGGAGCUUAAAGCCGGGGAUCGCAAGACCUGGCGCUUGAAGAGGGGCCCGCGCCUGAUUAGCUAGNGGUGAGGU